rnacentral:rRNA from 1 species
CCUACGGGUUGCAGCAGUGGGGAAUAUUGCACAAUGGGCGCAAGCCUGAUGCAGCCAUGCCGCGUGUAUGAAGAAGGCCUUCGGGUUGUAAAGUACUUUCAGCGGGGAGGAAGGUGUUGUGGUUAAUAACCACAGCAAUUGACGUUACCCGCAGAAGAAGCACCGGCUAACUCCGUGCCAGCAGCCGCGGUAAUACGGAGGGUGCAAGCGUUAAUCGGAAUUACUGGGCGUAAAGCGCACGCAGGCGGUCUGUCAAGUCGGAUGUGAAAUCCCCGGGCUCAACCUGGGAACUGCAUUCGAAACUGGCAGGCUAGAGUCUUGUAGAGGGGGGUAGAAUUCCAGGUGUAGCGGUGAAAUGCGUAGAGAUCUGGAGGAAUACCGGUGGCGAAGGCGGCUACCUGGCCAGAUACUGACACUGAAGCACGAAAGCGUGGGGAGCAAACAGGAUUAGAUACCCGUGUAGUC